UGAAGCGGGAAAAGCUCAAAUUUAAAAUCUGGUGGUCUUUGGCCAUCCGAGUUGUAAUUUAGAGAAGCGUCUUCCGCGCUGGACCGUGCACAAGUCUCCUGGAAUGGAGCGUCAUAGAGGGUGAGAAUCCCGUCUUUGGCACGGACACACCAGGGCUUUUGUGAUGCGCUCUCAAAGAAUCGAGUUGUUUGGGAAUGCAGCUCAAAAUGGGUGGUGAACUCCAUCUAAAGCUAAAUAUUGGCGAGAGACCGAUAGCGAACAAGUACCGUGAGGGAAAGAUGAAAAGCACUUUGGAAAGAGAGUGAAACAGUACGUGAAAUUGUUGAAAGGGAAACGCUUGAAGUCAGUCGCGUCGACCGAGACUCAGCCUUGCCUCGGCUUGGUGUACUUCUCGGCCUGACGGGUCAGCAUCAAUUUUGCCCCUUGGAUAAUGGCGAGGGAAAUGUGACACCUUUACGGUGUGUUAUAGUCCCUUGUCGCAUGCAAGGGUUGGGAUUGAGGAACUCAGCACGCGCCUUUGGGUGUCGGGGCUUUGCCCACGAUACGUGCUUAGGAUGUGGGCGUAAUGG
rnacentral:rRNA from 1 species